AUGCUCAGUCACAGAAAUUGUAAGAAAGCUCUACAGGUAAAGGUCCAACAGCGCCCUCUACUGGUGCAAAGAGUCAGGACAUGCUCAGUCACACUAAAAUGCAGAAGACCAGUCAGUGAGCAGACCGUGUGGAGCCGCAUGGACUUUCUGUGUGUUUCCCUAAUGAUGUGUGCAUUCUUGAGGAAAUACCGUACAUCAACGACUUCCUCAGCGGAAGGUGUUGCUCGAGCAUGCCCCGACGGCAGCAAGCCCCGACAGCAGCAUGCAUCGACGGCAGCAAGCCCCGACCGCAGCAAGCCCCGACAGCAGCAUGCAUCGACGGCAGCAAGCCCCGACCGCAGCAAGCCCCGACAGCAGCAUGCAUCGACGGCAGCAAGCCCCACCGCAGCAAGCCCCGACAGCAGCAUGCAUCGACGGCAGCAAACCCCGACGGCAGCACGCCCAACGCGCGCGCGGACUGCGAGGGCCCGUUCAUCACUGCUUGCAGUUUUAAUUAGGGCCCGAGCAGGGAACCUGCGAGGUCCCUAUUGUAAUUGUAAUGAUUAUUAUUAUUAUUAUUUUUUUUCCUUCUCACAAAAUGAUCGCAUUUUUCACUGCCUGAACAUACCCCAAAACUCACCAAACUUGGAAUAUAAGUCACACCUGGCGAAAAAUUUUAUAAUCUAUUGUCGUCCUGAAUUUCCACCACUAGGUGGCGCUGUUAUUAAGGAAAGCGCGUUUUGGCUAAUAACUCCCAUAUACUUUGUCGCACAUUCAAAAACCUUACAUCGACGCGUUCAGUGGAUUGUGCUGAAUCUCGUGGUAUAGGCCACGCCCAUUUCCGCCUACCGUUUUUUUUCGCUACGUCGCAAAAUGUCGAAAACCUACUUUUUCGAACUCCUCCCAGGCGAUUUCACCGAUUUGCACGAAACUUGGCACACAGCAUCUCUGGACCCUCCUGACAAAAAGUUAUUAAAGGAUUCUAAUUAAAAUAAAUAAUUUUGAAGUUAUUAAAUAACAACUUCCUGCAGAUUUGGUUACAAACAGGAAGUGUUGCAUAUCUCCACAUUGGUGUGGUCUAAUGACAUGAAACUCAGGAUACUACUUCCCCAUGAGCCCCUGAGGCCCUGUGCAAAAUUUUAGGCGAUGACCACAAGGUGGCGCUCUUUAAAUUGAUGUAUUUUAUAUCUCCACAACGGUGCAUCGGAAUAAGACGAAACUUGGUACAUUUAUUGUCAGUGCCCUCCUGAGGACAUCUGACAAAGGGUUUACCGAUCCACCACUAGGUGGCGCUCUGGCGUCACUUUAAUUGUAUAAUUGGCCCUGUGCCCACACCAUAACACUUAUGGAAAUGAAAUUCAUAGAGGUGCUAUAGAAUGGCCCCUGUGACUCACUCACCGAAAAUGACCACCAGGUGGCGCUAUUUUCAAUGCAAAAGCGUUUUUGGCUCAUAACUCCCACUUAAUAUGUUGCACAUUAUUAAUCCUCAUAUUUGUGUAUUCCCUGAAUUUAGCUGAAUUGUUUGGUGUAGGCCACGCCCACUUUUGCAGUAACUUUCCGUUCGCAAAAUCGCGACAAAUGAAAAACGUACUUUUUCGAACUCCUCCUAGAGAAUUUGACCAAUUUGCACCAAACUUUGCAUGUAGCAUCUGUAGACCCUCCUGACAAAAAGUUAUCAAAAGAAUUUUGAUAGUCCAUAAACUGCCCGAAAAUAUAAAAUGACAAAUUCCUGCAUAUUGUGUUGAAAACAGUACAAUCUUGCAUAUCUUUACAAAAUACUGUCUGAUUAUCACAUAAAUACUUUCAUAUUGUGUGGUAUGGCCUAUUGAUGAGGCUUUGUGUAAAAUUUGGUGCAAAUCGGCCCUUAGAUGGCGCUCUGGUCGCAGUCUAAUCAUUUUGAAUGGAAAGUAAAUGGGGAAAUCUUCAAGUCCUCUUCAAAACUCAUCGACCUUCAACCUCUCCUUAUCCCUCAUACUUUGAGCUAGACACACCAUUCUAACUUUUAAAGAGUCAGAAGACCUCAAAUUAUUGGGCAUGUAUUCAGUUUUUAAAGCACACGUUAGCCACACCUGGCCUGCUAUCAUCAUCAACAGCGUCAGCAACAGAGUUUUGUCCAGUGUUAGUUGUGUAGAAGCGUGUGCCUUUUAGAGAUGCUUCAUUAGAUCAGAGUUGCUUACAAUGGACGUGGACAAAUUAGAUUAAAACAGUGUCUGUACUUCCACUUUGUAAACAUCAACUUUCCCUCCGGACUCGCCAUAGCCGCAGUUCCCCUCUACUAGUUUGAGUGUGUGAGGCUGGUGUGUGUGUGUGUGGCUUGUUUGGACACCGAACAUUGCCACUGAUUGGCUUAAGAACUCUCACUCAAUGUUAGGGAGCCAAUCAUCAUCACUUAUGCGGUUGUCUCGCUCCUCCCUCCUCCCUCACCGGAGGAAAAAAAAAUUCAGACCAUCGACUCAGUCUUUGUCUGGGGAAUUAUGCAGCAGUUCACACAAUUUUUCUGACUUCAGCGUACAUUAUUCACACCGACAAUAGCAGGCCACCGAAUUAUAAAGCAACGACUUCGUCAGCGGAAGGUGUUGCUCGAGCAUGCCCCGACGGCAGCAAGCCCCGACGGCAGCAUGCACCGACGGCAGCAAGCCCCGACGGCAGCAAGCCCCGACGGCAGGAUGCAUCGACGGCAGCACGCCCCGACGCGCGUGGACUGCGAGGGCCCGUUCAACGCUGCUUGCAGCUUUAAUUAGGGCCCGAGCAGGGAACCUGCAAGGACC
rnacentral:lncRNA from 1 species